rnacentral:lncRNA from 1 species
CUGUUGCUAGGCUAACUUCUUCCAAUAUUAGUUUCCACAAAUAUCAGGUAGAUAUGUUUUUUUUAAUUUUACACCCAUAAUGCAUAAAACUAAGCAGCAAUACUUUUAUAGACACAGUGGAAGUGGCAUAAUAAGCUCACCAUCCCAUAGUGUCUGCAACAUAAUUGUGUUCAUUUCCCUUUGUGUAUUUUAGUAAUGAGAGCAUAAUUGUCAGUGCUUAUAAUACAUAUAAUCUCAUUACUGUCACUCCCAUUAGUAUGCUUUCACUUUGGCCUACACACAGGAUGUUUCACAUUCUUAUUGACAUACAGAAGCGUCCCUUCUCUCCUACACUCAGACUUCAGCCUAAUUCCUGACAGUUGCCAUGGUUAAUCACUGGGCAAGGCUGCCUGCCUUGUUUUUAAUAUGUUUAAUUUACCAUUCUUGACAUGAAGCCAAAAAGCCGGUGCUGCAUUGGUGUUAAUUUGCCAUGACCACAUCAGCGCACUUCGCUGGGUUCGUAGAGACUUCAGUUGGAAGAAAAACUAAUUCAGACAAGCAGUGCGACUGUUUGGGAGAAGUAAUAACAUUAGACACAGCUAUGACUUAGGACUGUCACCAGUCC